CCCUUCAUUGUUCUCGAUCACUUCUCACCUAUAUGAAAGAAACACAACUUGCGGAUCCAUGUUAAGGUCUCAUUGUUAAUGCUGAGUCGGCCUUCUGAUUCUGAAUUAGCAAGGUUGUUUUUGUGUUUGCGCGUGUGUGUGAUGUUGUUUGUUCCUGUCUGUACUGAACUGCUAUUCUAGUUUUUGCUCUCUCUCUCUCUCUCUCUCUCAGUUCUUAGUGUUUUUCAUAGAAAACAAGAAAGCUAUGCGCCAUCUCUCUCUCUCUCUCUCUCUCUCUGUAAAUUUGCAGAACCCUAAGACGAACUGAUAUAUAUAUAUAUAUAUAUAUAUGCAAAUUGCUGAGAACAAGAAAGAAGCCCUUUUUCUUCAUUUGAACAAUAGCAGAAACAUUUUCAGCCACAGCCAAGCUUGAGGUGCUUUGAUUUGCGGAUGAUGAGACAAGAAAAGAAAAGAGGAAGUUGAAGAAGAAGAAUGAAUCAGAGCCGUCGGAUGAAGAGAUGAGAGAUUCGUGCAAAUGAAAAGGAGAUGAUAGAUGGCAGAGCUGGCCUACUUUCUCUUCAGCUGAAGCAGAGGCAAUAAAGAAAGUGGAAUAUGGUGAGGGCCAUGGCUGCUGCAGCUUAUGGGGUCGAACAAGAACUGCUCGUCUCCUUUCUCGUGAGAAUGCUUGAAAAGGAGGAAAAGGUUCUGCUCAGCCCAAGAACAGAGUGGGCUAUUUGCAGUAGAAACUACCCUGUUUCUCAAGUCCAGUGCUUGCUCGCGCCUCUGUUCUUCUUCUGCUUCGCCUGUUGAUAUGGUGCUGAUGCUGGUGAUAUUGGCUUGAAGGCUCAAUCUAGUAGCUUAGUGAUAUAAUUUCUAUAUAAAUUUGUAUUUUUUUUUCCUUUUCUUAUCCUCUUUGGUGGAUAUUCAAAUCAAAUGUUGCUCUACCACAGGUUUGAUUUCCUCUCUGAUCUUGACAAAUCCUUGAAAUGAAGGCCAUUUUCCUGGGGAAGCAUGAGAGGAGAAAAGAGACGUUUCUUGAAUUGAUCCCUUGGGUUUCUACAUUUUGCAGUAAAUGGGAUGCAACUAAUCCUGUAGGAAAUUUGGUCAGUGGUGCUUUAAAUUUCUUGGGGGUCCCCUAAGGUACAGAGCCUUCAACAUCCGAAUACUGUUUUAUUACCGUUUCAAAUUUAAUGUCAGUCCUCUGCUUCUGUCUCUUUUACAACAAAACUUUAUUAGUUUUUUUUUUAAUUUUCCUCCUUCUUGGGAAACGUGGAGAUCCAUGAUAGUAUACUAACAAAAAUGUCUCAACUUCAAAAUCCAAAAAAGGACCCGUCAUCUUCUACGUGUAGCAAGGUACUUUGAACUUUGAAGAACUAUUAUUUAAUCAGAAUUUACUGUUGGGGUUGUUCUGUUCAUUGUUCAAGUUGCAGUUUUUCUUGCUUUAAAAUUGUGGUUUAAGAUUAUUGAAGAAUCAUGCGGCCCAUAGGACCUUGUGUUGGGUACGAUCAUUAAAUUUUGCUUUCUUUCUUUCUCGUGUGGAAAAAGUAUGAACAAGAAAAACAGGAAGAAAGACAAGGGAUGUUUGGGUGUAAGUGACGAAUGAUCUCUUAGAACAUGGAAGUGUCCAAUCAAGUAUGCUUUGCAACUUUUUCCUUUUCUUUCUUCUACUUUUAGCAUGCAUGUGAAAGCAUGGAAGCGCAGAGCCCCAUCCAAGAAGAAUGAAGAAAAAGCAGGGGGGAAAAAAAGGAGGAUAUGAUCUUUUCCUAGGAUUGGCUUUAUUAGAGCUUUGUUUAGACAGCAUAAUUUCCUUUUGAUUUUGUUAAACUUGUUUUACUCAACCAUCCCGUGACACUACUUCACAGAAUUGGUCAAUAUCAGAGUCAGAAUUGAAAUACUGACUGUAUAAUUAUAUCUAUAUUACUUCUAUCCUUCUAAGCAACAUAAAACCGAUAAUUCUUGAGUUUUAUAGUCAA